AUUGAACGCUGGCGGCAUGCUUUACACAUGCAAGUCGAACGGUAACAGGCCUUCGGGCGCUGACGAGUGGCGAACGGGUGAGUAAUACAUCGGAACGUGCCCAGUAGUGGGGGAUAGCCCGGCGAAAGCCGGAUUAAUACCGCAUACGACCUAAGGGUGAAAGGGGGGGAUCGCAAGACCUCUCGCUAUUGGAGCGGCCGAUGUCAGAUUAGGUAGUUGGUGGGGUAAAGGCCCACCAAGCCGACGAUCUGUAGCUGGUCUGAGAGGACGACCAGCCACACUGGGACUGAGACACGGCCCAGACUCCUACGGGAGGCAGCAGUGGGGAAUUUUGGACAAUGGGCGCAAGCCUGAUCCAGCCAUGCCGCGUGCGGGAAGAAGGCCUUCGGGUUGUAAACCGCUUUUGUCAGGGAAGAAAUCCUUUGGGUUAAUACCUCGGGGGGAUGACGGUACCUGAAGAAUAAGCACCGGUUAACUACGUGCCAGCCGCCGCCGUAAUAC
rnacentral:rRNA from 1 species